rnacentral:lncRNA from 1 species
UUUUUAGCUCACCUGGCCCAAAGGGCCAAGUGAGCUUUUCCCAUCACUUUGCGUCCGGCGUCGUCCGUCGUCCGUCGUCGUCGUUCACUUUUACAAAAAUCUUCUCCUCUGAAACUACUGGGCCAAAUUUUACCAAACUUGGCCACAAUCAUCAUUGGGGUAUCUAGUUUAAAAAAUGUGUCCGGUGACCCGGCCAACCAACCAAGAUGGCCGCCAUGGCUAAAAAUAGAACAUAGGGGUAAAUGCACUUUUUGGCUUAUAACUCAAAAACCAAAGCAUUUAGAGCAAAUCUGACAGAGGUAAAAUUGUUUAUCAGGUCAAGAUCUAUCUGCCCUGAAAUUUUCAGAUGAAUCUGACAACCCAUUGUUGGGUUGCUGCUCCUAAAUUGGUAAUUUUAAGGAAAUUUUACUGUUUUUGGUUAUUAUCUUGAAUAUUAUUAUAGAUAGAGAUAAACUGUAAACAGCAAUAAUGUUCAGCAAAGUAAGAUUUACAAAUAAGUCAACAUGACCGAAAUGGUCAGUUGACCCCUUUAGGAGUUAUUCCCCUUUAUAGUCAAUUUUUAACAAUUUUUCAUAAAUCUUAAUAAUCUUUUACAAAAAUCUUCUCCUCUGAAACUACUGGGCCAAAUUAAUCCAAACUUGGCCACAAUCAUCAUUGGGGUAUCUUGUUUUAAAAAUGUGUGGUGUGACCCUGCCAACCAACCAAGAUGGCCGCCAUGGCUAAAAGUAGAACAUAGGGGUAAAAUGUAGGUUUUGGCUUAUAACUCUAAAACCAAAGCAUUUAGAGCAAAUCUGACAUGAGGUAAAAUAAUCUAUUAGGUCAAGAUCUAUCUGCCCUGAAAUUUUCAGACAAAUCGGACAACCCGUUGUUGGGUUGCUGCCCCUGAAUUAGUAAUUUUAAGGAAAUUGUGCAGUUUUUGCUUAUUAUCUUGAAUAUUAUUAUAGAUAGAGAUAAACUGUAAACAGCAAUAAUGUUCAGUAAAGUAAGAUCUACAAAUAAGUCAACAUGACCAAAAUUGUCAGUUAACCCAUUAAGGAGUUAUUGCCCUUUAUAGUCAAUUUUUAACCAUUUUUUCUAAAAUUUUAGUAAUCUUUUAAAAAA